GGGAUUUAGCUCAGUGGUGCCACUCCUGCCUUGCAAAUGCAGGGUCCUGAGUUCAAUCCCUGGUACAAAAAAAAAAAAAAGGUACCACCUUUUACCUGUCCAUGACCAAAGUCUAGAACACAUUACACGCCAAGUGCUGGCGGGGCUGUGAAAGCCACCAAGCUCUCAGCACUGCCUUCUUUGGAAGAGUUUCUGACAAAACUAAACAUACCCUAUCCUUAUGAUCUAGUAGUUGAGCUUUAGUAUUUACCUAAAUGAGCUGAAACUCCUGUCCACACAAAAGCCUGCACACAUGUUUACGGCAGCUUUAUGAAUAAUCACAAAAACCUGAACACAAGGGAAGACAUCUUCAGUAGGUGGACAGACAACUGAUGCAUCCAGACAACAGACGAGUACUUGGUGCUAAAAAGAAAUGAGCUUUCAAGCCGUAAGACAGCAUGGAUCUCAGAUGUGAAUUAAGUGCUGGACCUUAACUGCCAGGGUGACGGUACCGGGGACAGGCCUCUGGGAGGUGAGCUCCUGCCUCUUGCAGGGGGCCAAGGCCCUGAUGGAGAGAGGCAUCCUGCAGCGCCCUUGCCUUGCAAGGUGAAGACACAGCUGACAGGCACCAGCAUCAUGACCUUGGACUUCAGCCUCCAGAACUGAGAAGAGCUCCUGUUCUGUGAAUAACGGUGUGAGCAGCUUCUCCGGUGCAUCUCUGCCAUCUGGGGAACCCUCCUGGGAACGCCCUGGCCACGCCAAGGGCCACUUUGCUUUAACCAUUCUGAAGAGAUUAGUAGAAACAACUGCCCUUGGAGAAUCUAACUGGUUCAUCCCACGCCCAUGGCUGAGAGGGGUUGAAGACAUUUUGCAGAUGCCACCCUCCAGCUUAGCACAGGCCAGGUGUUCUGUGCAGGCUACACUGGAGCCCUCCACCAGCCCUGCAGAUGGGAAUGGACACCCAGCCCGGCCGCACAAUGCCUGCCUACCGCAGCAAAAGCACAGGAAGCAUCCCUUGGAAUGCAGAAGAAAUUCUGCUCUUUCUGAGCCACCUCAGGCUACAAGGCUCCCCUGGUUUACGUGGAGGAAGUGCUGAGUGCAAGGCCUUGGAGGAAGCAUGUAUGGGUUCUGAAGAGUGGGUCUCCCAUGGCCUCUAC
rnacentral:lncRNA from 1 species